rnacentral:rRNA from 1 species
ACUCCUACGGGAGGCAGCAGUGGGGAAUAUUGGACAAAUGGGGGAAACCCGUAGCAUCCAGCCAUGCCGCGUGUGUGAAGAAGGCCUUCGGGUUGUAAAAGCACUUUCAGUGGGGAGGAAAGGUUGAUGGUUAAUACCUAUCAGCUGUGACGUUACCCACAGAAGAAGCACCGGCUAACUCCGUGCCAGCAGCCGCGGUAAUACGGAGGGUGCAAGCGUUAAUCGGAAUUACUGGGCGUAAAGCGUGCGCAGGCGGUCUGUUAAGCGAGAUGUGAAAGCCC